AAAAAAAAUUUAUGUAAAUCUUAAAAAUGGUACAAGCGGCGCAUACAAACGAAAUCGAAUGGAUAUUCAGCUAAUUGUUAAUUGGGAAUUUAGGGCGCAUAGGCGCUUAAACAAACAAAAAGACGUUUUUGAAACAUUUUCUAUGCAAGAAAAAUAUUGUGAGACAGCCAUUUUGUUUCUUCGUUACGUUUGUUCAUCGUGCAUUUUUUCAUGCGCGUUGCUCGCUCUUCGCUUUUGUCACACACAUACCCACAUCGAAAAUUCACAACAGCAGCAGCAUUUGCCAUUGCCACCACCACCAGCGAACGUUGAGCGAGACAGACGCUUUCGAUAUGUCGCACAUGCACAGUAUCCGCUCUUGAGCUCUCUGCAACGAACACAGCACUAGUAUGUCGGCUGCAUUUGCACGCACGUUUAUCAGCGUUGUGAAUGAGCAGUGCCGCUAUAUAGCAAUUGGUGUACGCGUGCGCUCGCCUUUCGCUGUGUAUGUGUGUGUAUUCGCAUUUUGAGUAAUUUCGAAAAAUUUUUGUAUAUUUGAUGGCGACAACGACGGCUGCUUUACUCACAAGAAACGCGCGUAUGUCGAAAAUUGUAGCGCGUACGUAUAUCGGUGUGUAGAAAUUGCUAAAAAAUAAUGCUACAACAACAAUAAUAAGGAAUCCGCGACAACCAACCAUACAACAAUAUAAGCAAAUCAAAAAUUUGGAUACUCCCAAGCCACAGUUUUAUAUCAAAUUUAAUUGCUCGGAUGCUAACACAAAAACACCAACAACAACUACAACAAUAAUUUUCGCUGCUUGGCUGAGCGAUUUGACCAAUAACAACAAAUGAAGUGACAGAGAGAGAGAGAGAGAAACCAAGUAAUUAAUUUGACUAGACGCCAACCACAAAUAAAAGAAACAGCAGCUGUGGAGGGGCAACAAGAAGCAACAGCUUCCAGUAAAUAGUGGGCAUCAAAAUGCCAACUAAUGUGAAACUGCAACUGCAAGUGGAACUGGAACUCAAACUGAACUGUGUUUGAAAUAGCAACAAAACACUGACAUCUGGAGGAGUCGCGCCACGACACCGGCAAGUGGUGUUGACAACAAUUUGCUGAGCAUGCAACGGACACAAAACCAAACAGCAGCCGUUGAA